rnacentral:rRNA from 1 species
GACGAACGCUGGCGGCGUGCCUAAUACAUGCAAGUCGAACGCAGUGGGGACGGGUGAGUAACACGUGGCUAACCUCCCAUCAGAGGGGAUAACACUUGGAAACAGGUGCUAAACCGAUACUGAUGGAUGGACCCGCGGUGUAUUAGCUAGUUGGUGGGGUAACGGCCCACCAAGCCCACGAUGCAUAGCCGGGCUGAGAGGAUGAUAGGCCACACUGGGACUGAGACACGGACCAGACUCCUACGGGAGGCAGCAGUGGGGAAUCUGCGGCAAUGGACGAAAGUCUGACCGAGCAACGCCGCGUGAGUGAAGAAGGUUUGCGGGUCGUAAAGCUCUGUUGUUAGAGAGGCGGUAUCUGACCAGGAAGCCACGGCUAACUACGUGCCAGCCGCCGCGGUAAUAC